CUUGAGGAUGAUCUGUUUCGGAGGCAAAGACAAGUCACUGAGUAGUUUCACACAACAGUUUUUGUUCUCAUCCAGUUCCCUGAUUCAAAGGGUUGAUUUCUCAUCCGUUAAUAUUUGUCUGAACGCUGAAGCUUCUGUGAGGGAGAAGAAGAGGAAGAGGAGGAGGAAGAGGAGGAGC